CUUGAUGUUCCCCCAAGAACAGGAACGGCAACAGCAGCUACCUGAAGCACAGAGCUGCCCUGGGUGUCUCUUGCGACAGAAAGAAAUUGAUGACCUUAAACAUCAACUUGCGGUCAUGCAGAGCCUCAUUGACAAAUUCCAGGCCCUUUGA